GUGAGGUCAUGCGGAAGCUGGUGCUUGGAGAUGUCUGCGUGGGACAGUACUGGAGGAAAAUGUGGAGUGAAGGAAGGCAAAUGUGGUGCAGGCCUGAAUGCUACCCAUGGUGACAGAGACUGAGGAGGGAAGGUUGGGAGACAAGUGCCAGAGAAGGCUGGAUCCUGAGGCCAGAGAAGGUGAGUGUUUCAUGACCACUAUUUGUAGGGACAGGGAUGGACAGGUCAAGAUAUCUGUUAAUGUGUCUUGUUGUGAGGUUUAGCUGGGAAAGAAGUGGUCAGAAGCUCAGCAGAGUACUGUUUGGAGACUCUAGACUGGAAAUAAUGUAAAAUCCAUUUGCCAAUGAGCUUAAAAGGGAAAGGAACCUGGAACUCUUCACUGGCAAAGCAAGUGAAAUUGAGCUGUUGUUCUUUCAGAGGGAGACAUAUUUAUAAUAUGAAGGAAAGAGCAGGAGGAAAGUGAGGGUGAAACGACAGUCAGUGAUUAGAGCCACUCUCACAGCUUGGAGCUGCUGAAAGAGGAAGGUUCCACUCCUCCACCCAUUGUGUCCCUUCUGUCCUUGGCCAGAUGCUGCUCUUUCCUCUGGCCCACUGGCUUUCAAUUCACUAUUGUAAAUUCAGCCCAGUAACACCCUACAGGAAAAAACCC